CAGCAGUUGGUGACAGGAGACUCCCAACUGUCGUCCCCCCACCAUCACGGGAUACUGCAGCUCGCGGGUUGGACAGCGGGAAGGCAAAAAACAGGGACUGUCCCGUGAAUAUCGGGACAGAAGCAGCUGUGGCUUUGGCUGCUUCUCUUCCUGUGAGUAUGAUCACUCUGACAAGCAGCGGUUAGGCACAGGCAACAUCACAGCACCCCUUCCUGUCUGCUUUAGUGCAGCAUUUCCCAGAAGCACCAGCUGUCCGAACUCACCAGCGGGUAAGCAAGACAGCCAGGAGAAGGGGGUCGAUGGAGGGAGGAGGUGUGCCUGGCCAGGGCCAAGGAGCUGGGGGAAAGAAGGAUAGAAGAAAACUGUAUUUAUGACGCACUAGAAGGAAUUAAUCAAUCCUAAAAUGUAACCUUUAUUGAAUAUAUAUUAAAAUGUAUAAUUUCAUUGACCCAGACUACAGUGAAACAUAAGAGUUAAAAUCAAACAGACUGACAUAUAUGUGAAACCUACAAGAUAGGAAAUGGUGAAUAAAGAAUUUUAAAAAGCGUA